GUAACACAGGUGAGGAAACAUGAAGGAAGUUCUCCUCGGGGUUUAGCCUCAGCUUGCUGGGAGGUUACUCUAUCAAUCAACUACUUCACUAGUCAGUCUCUGUACUUCUCUCAAUAAACAUUGAUUCGUGUCAGUAAAGUGUCUUGCACUGCUAAGACCUAGAGGAAAAAAAGAAGGAGAUAGAAGCUUUCUGGAGAAGACUGCUCAGUGGUCUGCUGGGAAGGCACGGAUGUACCACAUGGACCAUUAGAUUGCAUCUGACAAAGGCACAUCAGUGGGGAUGUACACUCUCUCACCCAGGGCUGAGGGAAUGUAUGAAACCCACAGAAGACGAGGAACCAAGUACAUCGGGGAUGACUCCUUGAUUUCUUAACCGGGCUCCAUCACUGGCUGCUUAUGUAACCCAGGCAAGACCUUCUUUGAAGCCAAUCACAUUCCGUGAUUAUGGAUUUUUUAAUCUAAUCAUAGUCCAUGAAUAUCCCAAUUUUCAUUUUCCCACCAAUUGCACCACGCUGCUGGAUCACAAGAUUAGACGACCAGGAACUCUGGCUGGAAGACAG
ensembl:lncRNA